AUUCUCCCCCCCCCCCCACGCUCAGCUACUAUGGCUUCUGGAAGAUACAUCGCCGCAAAGAAAGGAAAACCAGUCGCUACACAUGCAGGAGACACGGGGAGGAAACAUAUCAGGUCCCCUUCGAUCGACACCUUGUCCCAGAUGAAGGAAAAUGCCUUCACCCUCAUUGGAAGAGUCACUAACGCAGAAGAACAACCAGUUGGUUCGCUCAUCUCCUCUCUCCCAAGAACCUGGCUUCUGAAAGGUAAAAUCAUGGGAUCGGACCUUGGCUUGAACUGCUUCCACUUUAGGUUUGAACUAGAAGAAGAUAUGCGCAAGGUGCUCGCCAACAGUCCUUACCACUAUCAUCGCUGGAUGGUAGUCUUGCAGCAGUGGGAACCGGUAAUAUCAUCCAUCUUCCCUUCCCAUAUCCCUUUCUGGAACAGACUCCAAGGACUACCACUCCUCUUCUGGCAUGAAGAGAUGAUACGCAACAUUGGCCAUGAGUUGGGACACUUUGAUACGUAUCGUAUCUCAAAGACAGCAGCAAAAGACAGAGUUUUCAUCGAUGCCUUUAAACCUCUGAUUUUGGACCCCCUCAUCGAGUUUGACUCAAGGGAGGAAUUGGUUGUGUCUCUGGAGUAUGAGGAUCUACAAUCCCACUGUUCCAUAUGCUUCAAACUGACGCACUCUGCUAAAGAAUGCCCCCUCGCAUCAUUGCAGCCGGCACACCGCCCUGAAGUUGAUACUGUCAAUAGUGCCAGAGACCCACAAAGUCGUGAAGAACCAAAGAAAUAUCCUUUUCAACAGAGAAUUGACAGAUACGGAAGGCCUUUUGAGAGCAGGAUCCCUCCACCGGAAGUAAGGGGACAGCCCCUAAAGAACAAGCUGAUACCCUCAAGACCACGACAGGAGGAUAGCUCUCCACGCAAAUAUCGAGGAAGCUUUCAAACUUCAUCACGCUACGACUACCUUGGAUCUCAGAGGAGACCUGCAGGGGGACGUAAGGAGCGACACUCUCACCUCCAAUGGAGGGAAAAUGAUCGCACGAGGACUUCUCCAAGCCCUAGACUCCAGACAACGAACACUAUUGACGCUCGAGGACAACCAGAGCGUGCAGACACAAACAGACAACCGUUGGGAAGGAAUUUGGCGAUCUGCGACUUCCCACUACAGAGGAGGUUCUCGCAGACUUGCGCGAGGUAACACUCAGAUAUACAAAUGUUGCAGACAAGACAGAGAGCACGGCACGUCGUCAACGGGUUAUCUUAGGAGAGAAAGAAAAUCUAAUGGCAAAAACAGCAGAAGGGAUAAUAGCAACAGCUACACAAAACCUCACAAAAGAUGAACUCCUACCAUCACUACCCACAGUUUUCGAUAGAAUGGAGCCACCAAACAUGAUCUCACCCCUCCCUCAGUCUUUAAUAUACUCGAGCUUCCUCCUAUGGAGACUUCAGCAGAUCUCCCCACCAUUCAAGAAUCUCAUGAACUAGCUGCCACAGCGCUACGCAGUGCAAAAAGAAGAAGGAGAAGAACUGGCCCAGGCCCAAGCCCAAGGCUCCUUCCCGGUUUAUGCUCUCGGAAAAAAAAUAUGGCAAUAGUAUCUCCUGCAAGACAUGGAUUUCCCUUUGCGUCUUCAGUCCAACCAAAACAAUCUAAGCAACGCUCAGCCAUCUCCUCGAGAGGUACCUCUUCUUUGCGUGCAGAGACAUCGAGGGCUGCGUCCAGACAACAGGAUUUUCACAUCCUUCAUCAUCCUUUUCCUUAGUUGUUUGGAGCUGGAACUGCUGUGGAAUAGGGAACCCACAGACAGUCCAGAGGCUCAAAGAUCUGAACUCCAAGUGUUCUCCAGACAUCAUCUUCCUUUCAGAAACAAGAAACUUCGCGACACUGUUCUCUCAGAACUUGAACCUCUUCAUCUUGACUCCCACUUCCUGGUGCAUCCCUCUCCUACAAAUGGAGGAGGCCUUGCUCUUCUCUGGAAACAAGAAAUUGACAUUCAGAUCCUCGAAUCAAACCAGCACUUCAUAGAAUGCGGCUUUCAACAGCACCCUUCGUCUAUGGUGCUCCUGAGAUACCUAACAGACAAGCUGUAUGGAAUCAGCUCUCAUCAAUAGCAGAGACCCGAGACUCUCCCUGGUUCUUGACCGAAGAUUUUAACAAAAUAAUCAACAAUGCAGAGAAGUCAGGGGUAGAGAGAGACCUGAAAACUCUUUCAGUGCCUUCAGAUCCUUCUUAUCGUCGUGCGACCUUUUUGAUUUAAAGCAUAUGGGUAAUUUCUUGUCUUGGAGAGGCCAACAUCACACUCAUAUGGUGCAUUUUCGUCUGGAUCGAGCUAUGGCCAAUAGCUCCUGGAUGGACCUUUUCCCAAAUGGAUGGUCCCAUUAUCUCCCUUUUGAAGGCUCCGACCACAGACCUGUCUUAUCAACUUUCGACAGCAAAAAGAAAAAACCACAAUGAGUUUUUAGAUAUGAUUGGCGCUUACGAGAUAAUGAAGAAGUCAUAGAAAUCAUUGAUAGAACAUGGAAUGAGUAUCCAAACCUUACGGUGGCUCAUAGGAUUAACAACUGCAGAGGCGCAAUAGCUGCUUGGAGCAGGCUAAAUUACGUUAACAGCCAAAAAGAGAUUGUGGAGCUGAGGAAAAAGCUGGACGAGGCAAUGACGAACCCAAUAGCAGAUGACCUCCUAAUCUCAGCCACUAACCAGGAGCUACUUCAAGCAUACAAAAGGGAGGAGGAGUUCUGGAAACAGCGCAGUCGCCAGUUAUGGCUCACACUUGGAGACAAAAACACCGGGUUCUUUCACGCUUCUAAAAAAAAUCAGGUGUGCCCGUAACAAACUCACAACUAUUGAAGACUCAACUGGUACCCCUGUCUUCGAGGAUGAUCAGAUAGUUGAAGUAAUCUCGAAUUAUUUCCAACAUAUCUUCAAUUCAUUAUCCCCAUCAGCGACUGAAGUUGUGAGCAGACUCUACCGCAAGCGGUGUCCCAAAUCCAAAAAAAUCUCUUAGAAUUUUUUUGGAGAGUCAUAGUUCCUCCGCACCGACGGAGAAUCGAACCUUCGACUUUUGGGAGUCGUCUGUGAGAAGGAAGACCACUGAGAUGCAAGUCAUUCUCGUAUAUACAUAUUUAUAUGUAUGAGUUUAUACAAAUUUAUGUGCAAUAAUAAAUUAUCAAAGUGUCAAAAUUUAUUAUUUGAUUAGUAACUUAUAUACUAACAGGCGCAUAUCAAGAUUGGGGGUAAAUAUUAUCUUGUUUGUUAAAUUAUUGAGCAAUUAUUUCUGGGGAUUAUUUUUCGUGAAAAUCAAUAUUCUCUUUAAAGUUGUAUCACCCUAACAGACUAACUAGCUAUGAUUUAGCUCUUAGUUUUUCUAUCGAGAAAAAGUAUUCAUGUAUGUAUUGUCUUUCUAUUUAUUUUAACAGGCCUACCAAUUCUUAAUUUCAGGAUUUGUGACCUUCCUUCGGUAGAUAUGUUCGUGCCCACUGCCAAUCCUGUUAGAGAACCGCCAAUAAUUGUUGCGAACACCGUGCUUUCGCUGCUAGCUUUGAAUUAUCCAGCGAAUAAGCUAGCAUGUUAUGUGUCGGACGAUGGAUGUUCACCUCUCACUUACUUCUCUCUCAAGGAAACUUCUAAGUUCGCCAAGAUUUGGGUUCCCUUCUGCAAGAAAUACAACGUUAGAGUUAGAGCUCCUUUUAGAUAUUUCUUAAACCCUUUGGUCGCAGCAUACGAUUCAGAGUUCAGGAAAGACUGGAAAAUGACGAAGAGGGAGUACGAGAAGUUAAGGCGGAAAGUUGAAGAUUCCACCGGAGACUCCUUCUUGUUGGACGGGGACGAUGAAUUGGAAACCUUCUCAAACGCAAAACCAAAUAAUCAUUCAACUAUAGUUAAGGUCGUAUGGGAGAAUAAGGGAGGUGUAGGAGACGAGAAAGAAGUCCCUCAUCUUGUAUACAUAUCAAGGGAGAAAAGACCGGAUUACGUUCAUCACUACAAAUCUGGAGCCAUGAACUUUCUGGUUAUUGAUUUUUCUAACACAUCUAUUUUUCCUUCUUUUAGUUUUAAAGUACCCAAGUAUUUUUUUUCUUCAAACGACUAUCUUAUUACUCACAUUUGAGGUGACCUGAAAAACUAAACUGGAACAAAAUAACCAAGGUAGUACAGGUCCGGAUCUUGCUAUCUUAACUAAUGAAUCAAACAAUAUAUUUUCCAUACUAGGAAUAUAAGUAAUAACUCAAUGAAUAUAUUCUUAAUCUUCACCAUCUCCUUCAUUCAGUAGAAAAGUUAGGUCAUGCUCCUUGAUCUUCUUAAAUCAUCAAGACUAGAUCCUUACAAUAGGUGUCAAAAGCCUGACACGUGAUAUCUGUACCAUGCACUCCAUUUCCCAUGAAAGGACCUCGAGCUCCGAGUGAAGUGGUGAGAUUCUUCUACGUUGGUUUCUUGCUCCCAAUAGUUGAGUUUCUCCUCUAGAGUUUCUUCAUGUCCAUCCAUAACCACUGAAGAGUGUGUCAUGUGUCCAUGAACCAUCUAUCAUACAUCUCUCAAAGAUUAAUACAUAUACAUGAUGUUGUAUUUCUGUUGGUGGUUCUUCCUGUUUCUGAUUAGCUUCAAACCAAGCAUGACACUAUGACUCAGCGUGUCGGACAGUUUCCAAUGAGUCCAUAUCUGUCCCUCUGAAUAACUUUUCAUUUCUCGCUUUCAAAAUGUACCAAAUAAUCCAAAGAUAUAGAUCUCUAUCCAGUUCAGGAUCUGAAUAACUUAAAACUUAAACUUAAAACUCAUGUCUAUCCCUCUGAAUAACUUUUCAUUUCUCGCUUUCAAAAUAUACCAAAUAAUCCAAGGAUAUAGAUCUCUAUCCAGUUCAGGAUCUUCGGAAUCAUUUUUCGCCAGAAUAGAUAGUCUAUAUUUGUGUAUUGGCUUGCAUUGGGAAACACCAAUGGUGGAGUUGCUGCUAAGACCCAUGUCUGUAAGACUGGUGGGCAUUCAAAGAUGGCAUGAUUAAAUUCAAAGUACAAAGUUAUGUUCGACAUGUGACCAUUACAAAGAUAGUUGAGAAAAAACAUUAGUUUUCAUCAAGCAUGAAAUAGAUAUAUAUGACUUUGAUUCAUUUGUAUUUCAAUUUUACUUUAAGUUUGAUAUCACUUUUUAAAUUUACAUUUAAAAGAUAAAAAAUCAUAAAUACCUUAAAUUUAUGAUAAAAAGAACUUUUCUAAAUUAUUUUUACCACAAGUUUAAUAACGCUUUUCGGCCACGUUUUCUCCCGCCUCCGGAUAAAAUUAAAAAUUUGUACUAAAAAAGAUCUUUAUAUAUUUCAAGAUACUAACUUAGAUUUCAACUACAAAGACCUAUAAAUGGGUUGACUAAACCCUAAAAGAAGGGAUCGAUUAUUGUUCACUUUCGACUAUAGAAAUGCAUACAGCUAGAACUAUGGUUUCCAAACAAAUACAUGGUACUCAUGCUCUAGUGAUCAAUAAAACUCGACCCGUUAAAUUUCAUGAAGAAUCUUCCCGAACUAUUUUUCUUUCAAAAUUAAACUUAAAACUGAAUCACCUUUAGAUUAGCUUAACCUCACUUGGCCUUCCAUACCAUGCUAUCUGGUUAUUCUCUCGACAUCACUUGCAGUCCUUCCAUUCUAGUGUUUCACAAUCGUUUCCAAUAUUGAAGAAGCAAUUUCUCGACCAAUGCAAUUGAUAAACUGACCGAUUCAAUGUGUACUCCAGAACCAAUACUUUCUGAAGCCCUUUGUCCUUUGGACUUUGAAUUCUCAUUCUCGAACACUUCCAUUUCUAUUUUUGGCUUCCCGGUGCUUCUUGAAUUUUCUAAAAUUUUUAAUCCCCUUCUGGACAUUCUACUUCAUGCAGUAUUUCCUUGUGCCAAACUAAUUCUAAUUCUUUAUCCAUAUUUAUUCACCCAUUAGAAUCAUGAUUGCUCAUCAAAACCGUUUUGGAUCGAAUUUCCUUAUUCGUCCAUCCAUUGCCAAUUUCGUGGCCAUACCUCGACCAUUUUCUCUUUGACCAUUUCUUUGUCUUUGUUUACGUCCUUAUUAUUAUCGAGGGUUAUUACAUUCUCAAUAGAGAAUCUCCUACCGUAUUUCCUUACAGUUCAUUCCCAUAUAAUCAGGGAUGUCCGUCUCACCCCAUCCACAAACUUUCUGUAAAUGUAUGAUUCCGGUCUACCGUAAGGCACAUGUUAUCUUCCGAAUUCACUCAUGAAAUUAAAAGAUAAAGGGAAUUUUGGAGAUAAUUAAAAGAUAUUUUUAAGAUAACAACACAGAAUGUAUAUGAAUUAUCUUCUUAUUUUUAAAUAUAUUAUUUAGAUUUUGGAUAGUUCUUGUUAUUAUUUUUAAUUUUAAUUACUGAUCUAAUACAAAGAAUUUAAAUCCAUUUGUAGUUUUAUAGGUAAUUU